rnacentral:rRNA from 1 species
GACGAACGCUGGCGGCGUGCUUUACACAUGCAAGUCGAACGGUGAAGGUGGAGCUUGCUCCGCCGGAUCAGUGGCGAACGGGUGAGUAACACGUGGGCAACCUGCCCCUAACUUUGGGAUAACUACUCGAAAGAGUAGCUAAUACCGGAUAUGAAGUCUGUAGGCAUCUAUGGAUUUGGAAAGUUUUUCGGUUAGGGAUGGGCCCGCGGCCUAUCAGCUUGUUGGUGAGGUAGUGGCUCACCAAGGCGACGACGGGUAGCCGGCCUGAGAGGGCGACCGGCCACACUGGGACUGAGACACGGCCCAGACUCCUACGGGAGGCAGCAGUGGGGAAUAUUGCACAAUGGGCGCAAGCCUGAUGCAGCGACGCCGCGUGAGGGAUGACGGCCUUCGGGUUGUAAACCUCUUUCAGCAGGGACGAAGCGCAAGUGACGGUACCUGCAGAAGAAGGACCGGCCAACUACGUGCCAGCAGCCGCGGUAA